GGUUAAGCGACUAAGCGUACACGGUGGAUGCCCUGGCAGUCAGAGGCGAUGAAGGACGUGCUAAUCUGCGAUAAGCGUCGGUAAGGUGAUAUGAACCGUUAUAACCGGCGAUUUCCGAAUGGGGAAACCCAGUGUGUUUCGACACACUAUCAUUAACUGAAUCCAUAGGUUAAUGAGGCGAACCGGGGAACUGAAACAUCUAAGUACCCCGAGGAAAAGAAAUCAACCGAGAUUCCCCAGUAGCGGCGAGCGAACGGGGAGGAGCCCAGAGCCUGAAUCAGUGUGUGUGUUAGUGGAAGCGUCUGGAAAGGCGCGCGAUACAGGGUGACAGCCCCGUACACAAAAAUGCACAUACUGUGAGCUCGAUGAGUAGGGCGGGACACGUGGUAUCCUGUCUGAAUAUGGGGGACCAUCCUCCAAGGCUAAAUACUCCUGACUGACCGAUAGUGAACCAGUACCGUGAGGGAAAGGCGAAAAGAACCCCGGCGAGGGGAGUGAAAAAGAACCUGAAACCGUGUACGUACAAGCAGUGGGAGCCUCUUUAUGGGGUGACUGCGUACCUUUGUAUAAUGGGUCAGCGACUUAUAUUCUGUAGCAAGGUUAACCGAAUAGGGAGCCGAAGGGAAACCGAGUCUUAACUGGGCGUUAAGUUGCAGGGUAUAGACCCGAAACCCGGUGAUCUAGCCAUGGGCAGGUUGAAGGUUGGGUAACACUAACUGGAGGACCGAACCGACUAAUGUUGAAAAAUUAGCGGAUGACUUGUGGCUGGGGGUGAAAGGCCAAUCAAACCGGGAGAUAGCUGGUUCUCCCCGAAAGCUAUUUAGGUAGCGCCUCGUGAAUUCAUCUCCGGGGUAGAGCACUGUUUCGGCAAGGGGUCAUCCCGACUUACCAACCCGAUGCAAACUGCGAAUACCGGAGAAUGUUAUCACGGGAGACACACGGCGGGUGCUAACGUCCGUCGUGAAGAGGAAACAACCCAGACCGCCAGCUAAGGUCCCAAAGUCAUGGUUAAGUGGGAAACGAUGUGGGAAGGCCCAGACAGCCAGGAUGUUGGCUUAGAAGCAGCCAUCAUUUAAAGAAAGCGUAAUAGCUCACUGGUCGAGUCGGCCUGCGCGGAAGAUGUAACGGGGCUAAACCAUGCACCGAAGCUGCGGCAGCGACGCUUAUGCGUUGUUGGGUAGGGAGCGUUCUGUAAGCCUGCGAAGGUGUGCUGUGAGGCAUGCUGGAGGUAUCAGAAGUGCGAAUGCUGACAUAAGUAACGAUAAAGCGGGUGAAAAGCCCGCUCGCCGGAAGACCAAGGGUUCCUGUCCAACGUUAAUCGGGGCAGGGUGAGUCGACCCCUAAGGCGAGGCCGAAAGGCGUAGUCGAUGGGAAACAGGUUAAUAUUCCUGUACUUGGUGUUACUGCGAAGGGGGACGGAGAAGGCUAUGUUGGCCGGGCGACGGUUGUCCCGGUUUAAGCGUGUAGGCUGGUUUUCCAGGCAAAUCCGGAAAAUCAAGGCUGAGGCGUGAUGACGAGGCACUACGGUGCUGAAGCAACAAAUGCCCUGCUUCCAGGAAAAGCCUCUAAGCAUCAGGUAACAUCAAAUCGUACCCCAAACCGACACAGGUGGUCAGGUAGAGAAUACCAAGGCGCUUGAGAGAACUCGGGUGAAGGAACUAGGCAAAAUGGUGCCGUAACUUCGGGAGAAGGCACGCUGAUAUGUAGGUGAAGCGACUUGCUCGUGGAGCUGAAAUCAGUCGAAGAUACCAGCUGGCUGCAACUGUUUAUUAAAAACACAGCACUGUGCAAACACGAAAGUGGACGUAUACGGUGUGACGCCUGCCCGGUGCCGGAAGGUUAAUUGAUGGGGUUAGCGGUAACGCGAAGCUCUUGAUCGAAGCCCCGGUAAACGGCUACGUAACUAUAACGGUCCUAAGGUAGCGAAAUUCCUUGUCGGGUAAGUUCCGACCUGCACGAAUGGCGUAAUGAUGGCCAGGCUGUCUCCACCCGAGACUCAGUGAAAUUGAACUCGCUGUGAAGAUGCAGUGUACCCGCGGCAAGACGGAAAGACCCCGUGAACCUUUACUAUAGCUUGACACUGAACAUUGAGCCUUGAUGUGUAGGAUAGGUGGGAGGCUUUGAAGUGUGGACGCCAGUCUGCAUGGAGCCGACCUUGAAAUACCACCCUUUAAUGUUUGAUGUUCUAACGUUGGCCCCUGAUCGGGGUUGCGGACAGUGUCUGGUGGGUAGUUUGACUGGGGCGGUCUCCUCCUAAAGAGUAACGGAGGAGCACGAAGGUUGGCUAAUCCUGGUCGGACAUCAGGAGGUUAGUGCAAUGGCAUAAGCCAGCUUGACUGCGAGCGUGACGGCGCGAGCAGGUGCGAAAGCAGGUCAUAGUGAUCCGGUGGUUCUGAAUGGAAGGGCCAUCGCUCAACGGAUAAAAGGUACUCCGGGGAUAACAGGCUGAUACCGCCCAAGAGUUCAUAUCGACGGCGGUGUUUGGCACCUCGAUGUCGGCUCAUCACAUCCUGGGGCUGAAGUAGGUCCCAAGGGUAUGGCUGUUCGCCAUUUAAAGUGGUACGCGAGCUGGGUUUAGAACGUCGUGAGACAGUUCGGUCCCUAUCUGCCGUGGGCGCUGGAGAACUGAGGGGCUGCUCCUAGUACGAGAGGACCGGAGUGGACGCAUCACUGGUGUUCGGGUUGUCAUGCCAAUGGCACUGCCCGGUAGCUAAAUGCGGAAGAGAUAAGUGCUGAAAGCAUCUAAGCACGAAACUUGCCCCGAGAUGAGUUCUCCUGAGACUUUAAGUCUCCUGAAGGAACGUUGAAGACGACGACGUUGAUAGGCCGGGUGUGUAAGCGCAGCGAUGCGUUGAGCUAACCGGUACUAAUGAACCGUGAGGCUUAACCUU
rnacentral:rRNA from 1 species